ACCAAGGCAAUGAUGCAUAGCCGAGUUGAGAGACUGAUCGGCCACAUUGGGACUGAGACACGGCCCAAACUCCUACGGGAGGCAGCAGUAGGGAAUCUUCCACAAUGGACGAAAGUCUGAUGGAGCAACGCCGCGUGAGUGAAGAAGGGUUUCGGCUCGUAAAGCUCUGUUGGUAGUGAAGAAAGAUAGAGGUAGUAACUGGCCUUUAUUUGACGGUAAUUACUUAGAAAGUCACGGCUAACUACGUGCCAGCAGCCGCGGUAAUACGUAGGUGGCAAGCGUUGUCCGGAUUUAUUGGGCGUAAAGCGAGUGCAGGCGGUUCAAUAAGUCUGAUGUGAAAGCCUUCGGCUCAACCGGAGAAUUGCAUCAGAAACUGUUGAACUUGAGUGCAGAAGAGGAGAGUGGAACUCCAUGUGUAGCGGUGGAAUGCGUAGAUAUAUGGAAGAACACCAGUGGCGAAGGCGGCUCUCUGGUCUGCAACUGACGCUGAGGCUCGAAAGCAUGGGUAGCGAACAGGAUUAGAUACCCUGGUAGUCCAUGCCGUAAACGAUGAGUGCUAAGUGUUGGGAGGUUUCCGCCUCUCA
rnacentral:rRNA from 1 species